CCCUUAUAUUUUCUGUGUGUGUUCAGGUGAUAUCUAGAAAAUAGAACUGUUGUUUGUAAUUAAAACUCUUAAUAUUAGAUGGUACAGUGUUUUUACUCUCUUCCAAACAGUAAAGUUCCUCUUUGUCUCUCAGUAGGAAAUCUAAACCAGACAGUACAAGGCUACAUUUCAGUGUUACAAGCCAAUCAGUUUGCUAAUUGUUCUGUGAGAUUUGUUUGCAAAGUUUAAGGUGUUAAAGCAGGAGCUGGCAUUCUGUCAGAGCCUCAGCAACAAGACCGCCUCCCAGCAACGAGACUGCCUGUCAGCCUUGCAAGAUUUGUUUGAAAAGUUUGAGGUGGUAACUGUGAGCUGUGAACAUCCGGGUUUGCUUGCUGCUGGCAUUCGACCAGCGUCUCAGCAACAACACUGCCUCCCAGCUUUGCAAGAUGCCGAGAAAAAAUAAAAGAUCCCAGGCACAAAAGAAGCGCUGGAAACCACUUGACUUGGUCGAUCCUGCUGUCCCAAUGCUCACUGGCCACAACCAAGAUGAGGCAGUCAGUCGUUUUCCAUCUGACCAGCAGACGGCACCAGCCAGGUUAUCUUUGGAAACACAGGAUAGACCCACCUCCUAUGUUC